rnacentral:sRNA from 1 species
UGUGAAUUGCAGAAUUCAGUGAAUCAUCGAAUCUUUGAACGCACCUUGCCGCUCCUUGGUAUUCCGAGGAGCAUGCCUGUUUGAGUGUCAUUAAUAUAUAUCAACCACUCUUCUUGAGUUGAGUGGCUUGGAUGUGGGGGGUUUGCUGGCCUUUUAUGAAGGUUCAGCUCCCCUGAAAUGCAUUAGUGGAACAACCUGUUCAUUCAUUGGUGUGAUAACUAUCUACGCUAUUGGGUGUGAGGCAGUUCAGCUUCUUAACGGUCCUUGGACAGUUUUAUCAUUUUAUGUGACCUCAAAUCAGGUAGGACUACCCGCUGAACUUAAGCAUAUCAAUAAGCGGAGGAAA